GACGAACGCUGGCGGCGCGCCUAACACAUGCAAGUCGAACGGAGUCAAGAGGAGCUUGCUUUUCUUGACUUAGUGGCGAACGGGUGAGUAACGCGUGAGUAACCUGCCCUUGAGUGGGGGACAACAGCUGGAAACGACUGCUAAUACCGCAUAAGCCCACGGAUCGGCAUGGAUCUGCGGGAAAAGGAGUUUUGCGCUCUAGUAUGGACUCGCGUCCAAUGCGCUAGUUGGUAAGGUAACGGCCCCCUAAGGAGACGAUUGGUAGCCGGACUGAGAGGUUGAACGGCCACACUGGGACUGAGACACGGUCCAGACUCCUACGGGAGGCAGCAGUGGGAGAUAUUGCACAAUGGGGGAAACCCUGAUGCAGCGACGCCGCGUGGAGGAAGAAGGUUUUCGGAUUGUAAACUCCUGUCGUUAGGGACGAUAAUGACGGUACCUAACAAGAAAGCACCGGCUAACUACGUG
rnacentral:rRNA from 1 species